rnacentral:misc_RNA from 1 species
GAUGAAGAACGUAGCGAAAUGCGAUAAGUAAUGUGAAUUGCAGAAUUCAGUGAAUCAUCGAAUCUUUGAACGCACAUCGCGCCCGGUAGUAUUCUGCCGGGCAUGCCUGUUCGAGCGUCAUUUCAACCAUCAAGCCCCAGCGCUUGUGUUGGGGGCCUGCGGCUGCCGCAGCCCCCUAAAAGCAGUGGCGGGCUCGCUAUCACACCGAGUGCAGUAGUUCAUCUUCUCUCCGGUCUUGUGAGGCGGGUUCCGGCCGUGAAACACCCCACUACAUUCAAGGUUGACCUCGGAUCAGGUAGGAAUACCCGCUGAACUUAAGCAUAUCAAUAAGCGGAGGA